CUCCUGUUUACAUCUUUGUCUGUAUAUCUUGUUUUAUAUUAUUCUAUUUUGCUCUCAAUUUACAACAGUGGUAUUAUAAAUUUGGACGGAAAGAGUAAUUAUGAAAAUUCCCCAUUUACAAUGAAACCCGAUUCCCGCUCGAAGUCGAAGGAAAUAGGGAAUCUAAUGCCGGCGCUGAAAUAAGGCCAUGGACGACGUCGAUCGCUUAUUCCACUGCUUCAAAUGCGGCAUUUCUCCCCCUCAAUCAGCAAUAAGAGAAAGGAAAAAGGGAAAGCUGAGUGUGAAACAAAAUGAUACAUUGGAAAAGCUAUCAACAGCUUCAGAUAUUGUGUCGUCAACAUCAAAGGGAAAGAAGGUCCAAAAUGCAACAGAUGUUGACUUCAAUGUCGGUUCAUUAACAGCAAAUAUACAAAAUAAGAAGAAGGGACCUCAGUUCUCUCCCCUUGUAUUUUAUGGUUCUCCACAUGGAGUUCCUCCAAAAAGACCUGCUCGUUUGUUGCGCCUUUUGAAUGAAAUCCGUGUAGAUUUUAACGAGCAAAAUAAAUUAAGACAAGAUAUAUGGGCCACAUUUCCAAGGCAAGAUGAAGCUAUCAAGUAUGCAAAAGAGCAAACUAAUGCUCAUGUUUUCAGUUACCAGGAUCAUAUGAAUGGUCAAAGAAGAUUCCUUGUCUCCACAUAUAAAGAGUUCUGGAGAAGGUACGAAACUAUGAAUCCUAAAUUUCGGCACCACUAUGAAGUAAUCCAGGAGGGAUUGCCAUGCCAUCUCUACUUUGAUCUGGAGUUCAACAAGAGAGAGAAUGCGGAUAAAAAUGGAGAUGAAAUGGUUGACCUUCUGAUACAGGUCGUCUUUGAUGCGGUCAAGGAAAAGUACUGUCUUGAAGGAAACAAUGAUUGGGUUGUGGAGCUUGAUUCCUCCAAUGAAGAAAAAUUUUCUCGUCAUCUAAUUAUUCGAUUUCCAAAGGCUGCUUUCAAGGACAACUCGCAUGCAGGUGCAUUUGUUACUGAGAUAUGUUCAAGGAUCAGUAGCUUAAGUGAAAGUGAUGGAAUAUUUAGAAAGCUUUUUGUCUCAAAGGAUUCAAGCUCAAUCGAUAUUCCAUUUCAACUGUUUGUGGAUAAAGCUGUCUACUCUAGAAAUCGCUGCUUUCGCCUAGCCUUGUCAUCUAAAGCUGGGAAGAGUUCAGUGCUUCUGCCAAGUGGACGUUUUAAAUGUAAGGACAUGACUGAGGAAGAAGUGUUUAUGGCAUCCUUGAUUUGCAACAUGGAUGCUGAUUUUGAGAAGCUACUGAUCUGCAAAAUGGAUCUAGAUUGCGUGAAGGCCCUUCAAUUUGAUACAGAGAGUACCGGGAAUUUCCAACUGCAUUCUGCUGUUUCACUGAACUUUGACCUAAAUGCUUGUACAAGCGAUCCUUCAAGAACUUAUUUGAUGGGAAAAUCACCGUUUCCAUAUCUGGAUGUGUUUGUAGAGUCUGUUGCUUCAAUUGGAACUAUACCAGGAAAAAUCCGAAGUUGGUACUGGUUCUCGGAGUAUGCAUUGAUGGUCUACAACAUGUCUAGAAAUAGAUACUGUGAAAGAAUUGGCAGACAACAUAAAAGCAAUAACGUUAUAUACGUAGUUGAUCUGCAAAGGGCUGUUUAUUAUCAGAAGUGUCACGAUCCUGAUUGCAGAGGCUAUCGAUCUCCCUUGCGACCUGUCCCUGAUAAUGUUAUACCUCAUUCAUCCAUUCCCUUCAAUCUGCCUGGACAUAAUUUGGACGAGGACCAGCCAACUGUAACCGGUGACAAAAGCAUUUUCAGCAGCUGCAAGAAAGAAUGGUGGCUUGAAGCCAUAAGAGUUGCAGACAACAUUGAGAACGUACAAAAAGCAUUGGAUCUUACUGAGCUAUCCCACACAGGUGAAAUUUCAUCAUGGUUAGGAUGUCUCAUGUAUCUCAGAUCUCGGGGAAAAUUGAUAUGAUAGGAUUUAAAUAGCAGAACCUAAACUUUAGCUGAUACUGAAGCUCAGUAGCUGAACACUGCAAAGGGACGGAACAUGUGAAGAAGAUGAGUGGUGGAUGGCUGUUGAAAGGACUGCAUACCAGACAGAGCUAUCCUACUCUGGAAAAGCUUAGCCAUUUCAGCUCUUUCAAAUUGUUCGAUCCUUACUUGUAAGCAUGGAGGUUUCGAGGUCCAGCUAGUUGGCGUUAGUGGUUCCCCAACCACAUCACAAAUUGUGUUCCUGUUAAUUGAUGAUUUCUCAAUUUUGUCUACUUAUCCUGCUAAAAGCAGUGCAUGCUGGAAAGCUACAUAUGUUGCUACAUUCCAACAUUGUAUUGCUCAACGAGGUUUGAAUAUUAGGACUUUUUUUAAUCAAUAAAGCUUUUCAAGUUACAGCCUGAAACAAAAAUCAAGAAAUAUCACGACCUCCUUUAUUAA